rnacentral:rRNA from 1 species
AGGACGAACGCUGGCGGCGUGCUUAACACAUGCAAGUCGAGCGGAAAGGCCCUUCGGGGUACUCGAGCGGCGAACGGGUGAGUAACACGUGAGCAACCUGCCCCUGGCUCUGGGAUAGCUCCGGGAAACCGGGAUUAAUACCGGAUAUGACCUUCCGUUGCAUGACGGCGAGUGGAAAGUUUUUCGGCUGGGGAUGGGCUCGCGGCCUAUCAGCUUGUUGGUGGGGUGAUGGCCUACCAAGGCGACGACGGGUAGCCGGCCUGAGAGGGCGGACGGCCACACUGGGACUGAGACACGGCCCAGACUCCUACGGGAGGCAGCAGUGGGGAAUAUUGCGCAAUGGGCGGAAGCCUGACGCAGCGACGCCGCGUGGGGGAUGAAGGCCUUCGGGUUGUAAACCUCUUUCAGCAGGGCGAAGCGAAGUGACGGUACCUGCAGAAGAGCGCGGCUAACUACGCGCCAGCAGCCGC